rnacentral:rRNA from 1 species
AAGUCAGAGGUGAAUGCCUGCAGCUCACUGUAGAAUUGCCUUUGAUACUGGUUGACUUGAGUCAUAUAGAAGUAGGUGGAAUGUGUAGUGUAGCGGUGAAAUGCAUAGAUAUUACAUAGAAUACCGAUUGCGAAGGCAGAUUACUAAGUAUGUACUGACGCUGAUGGACGAAAGCGUGGGGAGCGAACAGGAUUAGAUACCCUGGUAGUCCACGCCGUAAACGAUGGUUACUAGCUGUUGGGGAUACACUGUCUGUGGCUAAGCUAAAGUGAUAAGUAAUCCACCUGGGGAGUACGAUCGCGAGGGUGAAACUCAAAUGAAUUGACGG